rnacentral:rRNA from 1 species
GUACCUACGGGACGCAGCAGUCGGGAAUAUUGCGCAAUGGAGGAAACUCUGACGCAGUGACGCCGCGUAUAGGAAGAAGGUUUUCGGAUUGUAAACUAUUGUCGUUAGGGAAGAAAAAAAGACAGUACCUAAGGAGGAAGCUCCGGCUAACUACGUGCCAGCAGCCGCGGUAAUACGUAGGGGGCUAGCGUUAUCCGGAAUUACUGGGCGUAAAGGGUGCGUAGGUGGUUUCUUAAGUCAGAGGUGAAAGGCUACGGCUCAACCGAAGUAAGCCUUUGAAACUGGGGAACUUGAGUGCAGGAGAG